CGCGUAGGCUGUUUACCAAGUCCGGGGUGAAAUCUUUCGGCUUAACCGGAAAAGUGCCUUGGAUACUGGUGAACUCGAGGGAGGUAGGGGCAUGUGGAACUUCCGGUGGAGCGGUGAAAUGCGUUGAUAUCGGAAGGAACGCCGGUGGCGAAAGCGACGUGCUGGCCCUCUUCUGACGCUGAGGCGCGAAAGCUAGGGGAGCAAACG
rnacentral:rRNA from 1 species